rnacentral:rRNA from 1 species
UUGAUCAUGGCUCAGGACGAACGCUGGCGGCGUGCUUAAUACAUGCAAGUCGAGCGGGGUUACUGCGACAGAUCCCUUCGGGGUGACGUUGCUUUAACCUAGCGGCGGACGGGUGAGUAACGCGUGGGUAACCUACCCUAAAGCUCGGGAUAACAGUGGGGAACCGCUGCUAAUACCGGAUGACUUUAACCUAUGGCAUCAUGGGUUAAAGAAAGAUUUAUCGCUUUAGGAUGGGCCCGCGUCCCAUUAGCUAGUUGGUGAGGUAACGGCUCACCAAGGCGACGAUGGGUAGCCGGCCUGAGAGGGUGUACGGCCACACUGGGACUGAGACACGGCCCAGACUCCUACGGGAGGCAGCAGUAGGGAAUAUUGCGCAAUGGACGGAAGUCUGACGCAGCGACGCCGCGUGAGCGAUGAAGGCCUUCGGGUCGUAAAGCUCUGUCCUUGGGGAAGAAGGUCUUCGGACUUGACGGUACCCAAGAAGAAAGCCCCGGCUAACUACGUGCCAGCAGCCGCGGUAAUACGUAGGGGGCGAGCGUUGUCCGGAAUUACUGGGCGUAAAGGGUGCGUAGGCGGCCCUUUAAGUCAGAUGUGAAAGGCCACGGCUUA